rnacentral:rRNA from 1 species
AUUGAACGCUGGCGGAAUGCUUUACACAUGCAAGUCGAACGGUAGAGGGGGCAACCCCUUGAGAGUGGCGAACGGGUGAGUAAUAUAUCGGAACGUGCCCAGUCGUGGGGAUAACGUAGCGAAAGUUACGCUAAUACCGCAUACGAUCUAAGGAUGAAAGCGGGGGAUCGCAAGACCUCGCGCGAUUGGAGCGGCCGAUAUCAGAUUAGGUAGUUGGUGAGGUAAAGGCUCACCAAGCCAACGAUCUGUAGCUGGUCUGAGAGGAUGAUCAGCCACACUGGGACUGAGACACGGCCCAGACUCCUACGGGAGGCAGCAGUGGGGAAUAUUGGACGAUGGGCGAAAGCCUGAUCCAGCAAUGCCGCGUGAGUGAUGAAGGCCUUAGGGUUGUAAAGCUCUUUUACCCGGGAUGAUAAUGACAGUACCGGAGAAUAAGCUCCGGCUAACUCCGUGCCAGCAGCCGCGGUAAAGUGACU